GAACGCUGGCGGCGUGCCUAAUACAUGCAAGUCGAGCGAACGGACGAGAAGCUUGCUUUUCUGAUGUUAGCGGCGGACGGGUGAGUAACACGUGGAUAACCUACCUAUAAGACUGGGAUAACUUCGGGAAACCGGAGCUAAUACCGGAUAAUAUUUUGAACCGCCUGGUUCAAAAGUGAAAGACGGUCUUGCUGUCACUUAUAGAUGGAUCCGCGCUGCAUUAGCUAGUUGGUAAGGUAACGGCUUACCAAGGCAACGAUGCAUAGCCGACCUGAGAGGGUGAUCGGCCACACUGGAACUGAGACACGGUCCAGACUCCUACGGGAGGCAGCAGUAGGGAAUCUUCCGCAAUGGGCGAAAGCCUGACGGAGCAACGCCGCGUGAGUGAUGAAGGUCUUCGGAUCGUAAAACUCUGUUAUUAGGGAAGAACAUAUGUGUAAGUAACUGUGCACAUCUUGACGGUACCUAAUCAGAAAGCCACGGCUAACUACGUG
rnacentral:rRNA from 1 species